rnacentral:rRNA from 1 species
CAGUAGCCGCGGUAAUACGGAGGGUGCAAGCGUUAAUCGGAAUUACUGAGCGUAAAGCGCACGCAGGCGGUCUGUCAAGUCAGAUGUGAAAUCCCCGGGCUUAACCUGGGAACUGCAUUUGAAACUGGCAGGCUAGAGUCUUGUAGAGGGGGGUAGAAUUCCAGGUGUAGCGGUGAAAUGCGUAGAGAUCUGGAGGAAUACCGGUGGCGAAGGCGGCCCCCUGGACAAAGACUGACGCUCAGGUGCGAAAGCGUGGGGAGCAAACAGGAUUAGAGACCCGUGUAGUCCCUGUCUCUUAUAC